rfam:Picea glauca, whole genome shotgun sequence.
UUAAUGGUUCUUAGAACCACAUAUUAUUUCUAUAAAAAUAUUAU